GACGAACGCUGGCGGCGUGCUUAACACAUGCAAGUCGAACGGAAAGGCCUGCUUUCCCUUGUGGAUUGCGGGUACUCGAGUGGCGAACGGGUGAGUAACACGUGAGUGAUCUGCCCCCAACUUGGGUAUAAGCCUGGGAAACUGGGUCUAAUUCCCGAUAGGACUGCAGGGUGGUGCCUGUGGUGGAAAACGAUUUUCUAGUGGUUGGGGAUGAGCUCGCGGCCUAUCAGCUUGUUGGUGGGGUAAUGGCCUACCAAGGCGGCGACGGGUAGCCGGCCUGAGAGGGUGGACGGCCACAUUGGGACUGAGAUACGGCCCAGACUCCUACGGGAGGCAGCAGUGGGGAAUAUUGCACAAUGGGCGGAAGCCAGAUGCAGCGACGCCGCGUGGGGGAUGACGGCCUUCGGGUUGUAAACUCCUUUCGACCGCGAGGAAGCCACCUGGUUGGAAGGGUGGUGACGGUAGUGGUAGAAGAAGCACCGGCUAACUACGUG
rnacentral:rRNA from 1 species